GUCUGGCGUGGUGGUGGGCACCUAUAGUCCCAGCUACUUGGGAGGCUGAGGCAGGAGAAUGGCAUGAACCUGAGAGGCAGAGCUUACAGUGAGCCGAGAUCACACCACUGCGCUCCAGCCUGGGCAACAAAAGCAACACUCCGUCUCAAAAAUAAAAAACAAAACCAAAAAACUAGUUCAUUUUUUGUUCGUUUGUUUUGAGAUGGAGUCUCGCUCUGUUGCCCAGGCUGGAGCGCAGUGGUGUGAUCUCGGCUCACUGUAAGCUCUGCCUCUCAGGUUCAUGCCAUUCUCCUGCCUCAG
rnacentral:SRP_RNA from 1 species